GAAACGACUGCUAAUAGCGCAUGAUACAUUUGGGUGGCAUCAUCUGAAUGUCAAAGGUUUAUCGCUGAAAGAUGGCCUCGCGUCUGAUUAGCUGGUUGGUGAGGUAACGGCCCACCAAGGCGACGAUCAGUAGCCGGACUGAGAGGUUGACCGGCCACAUUGGGACUGAGAUACGGCCCAGACUCCUACGGGAGGCAGCAGUGGGGAAUAUUGGGCAAUGGGCGCAAGCCUGACCCAGCAACGCCGCGUGAAGGAAGAAGGCUUUCGGGUUGUAAACUUCUUUUAAGAGGGAAGAGCAGAAGACUGUACCUCUAGAAUAAGCCACGGCUAACUACGUGCCAGCAGCCGCGGUAAUACGUAGGUGGCAAGCGUUGUCCGGAUUUACUGGGUGUAAAGGGCGCGCAGCCGGGAAUGCAAGUCAGAUGUGAAAUCCAUGGGCUUAACCCAUGAACUGCAUUUGAAACUGUAUUUCUUGAGUACUGGAGAGGCAAUCGGAAUUCCUAGUGUAGCGGUGAAAUGCGUAGAUAUUAGGAGGAACACCAGUGGCGAAGGCGGAUUGCUGGACAGCAACUGACGGUGAGGCGCGAAAGUGUGGGGAGCAAACAGGAUUAGAUACCCUGGUAGUCCACACUGUAAACGAUGAAUACGAGGUGUGCGGGGACUGACCCCCUGCGUG
rnacentral:rRNA from 1 species